UUUCCCAAAUUGAGAAACCUAACCCACUAACCCCACACCCCAGCGCCGUUCCCCCUUCGUUCACCCUCAGCUUCAUUCCUCAAUAUACACACACACAAAACAAGAGAGAAACAGAAGAUGGAGGAGCUGCUGCCGCUACCGUGCCCAGCCAUUGAGCCAUGCGUCGCUGCCAUUUUUGCGUCGCCACCGUCGCUCUCAUAGCUGCUCCGUGGAGGCCGCAGAAAGGAACGCGAACCAGGAGCUUCCGUGUCGCGCCGCCGAUCUGUCACCAUGCUGCUGCGUCGCCAUUGAUGAAGCUUUUGCCACCACCGUGUAUCCCGAACAGAGGAAGAAGGAGAAGUCUUCUGUCAUCAACACUACAUCUCUUCACUGCUGCUGCUGUUGAUGGAAGUCAUCGCCAUCGCCGAGCCGCUACAUCGCCGGACAUCAUUGCUGGAGGACCGAAUGGAGAGGCACGCCAGUUCUGCUUCUACUUCUGGGUUUUUGGAAUUUGGGAAAACGCCACUAUCGUUGCUGUUUGUUGGGUUUAAGAUCGCUGCUACUGUUCUUGCUUUGUUCUGCCACCAUCAAGUUUGGAGAAGAACGCUGCCACUGUCACCAUUGAAGCUUGCCAGGGAAGGAGCUAUUGACAGAAGAAACUACUGCUGCUUGGCUGAAGCUGAGACCUUUCACCAUCACUGGAGCUGCCCAGAAUCAUCAUGGUAGCUGCUAAGAGAGCAGAACGGAUGUUAGAACUGCCAACGGAGCUGCUGGGUUUAGUGAUUUCCGUGAGUUCCGACUUUGAGUGACGCAGGUUUGAAGACCCAGUUUGAAGCUGCGGGAGAUUAUAGAAUUUACUUAUGAGUUAAGUUACUUUCAUAGAAGUUCCCUCGCUCUUAUUGCUUAACAUUUUUAUUUUAUACAGAGGGAUAGGAUUUGUAUGUGAUUUUUAUUUGAAAUCUUUUGUAUGACAGAUAUUAUUAUUAAUAAUUAUGUGAUUAUUAUUA